rnacentral:rRNA from 1 species
CACGUUGAAACACCGGUUUUCUUACGAUCACCGAAGUUAAGCAACGUUGAUCCUGGUCAGUACCGAGAUGGAUGACCGCCUGGGAAUACCAGGUGCUGUAAG